AAGACCUUGCGCUUUUGGAGSGGCCGAUGCCUGAUUAGCUUGUUGGUAAGGUAAAAGCUUACCAAGGCUUCGAUCAGUAGCUGGUCUGAGAGGACGACCAGCCACACUGGGACUGAGACACGGCCCAGACUCCUACGGGAGGCAGCAGUGGGGAAUUUUGGACAAUGGGGGCAACCCUGAUCCAGCCAUGCCGCGUGAGUGAAGAAGGCCUUCGGGUUGUAAAGCUCUUUCAGCCGGAACGAAACGGUUACGGUUAAUACCCGUGAUUACUGACGGUACCGGAAGAAGAAGCACCGGCUAACUACGUGCCAGCAGCCGCGGUAAUACGUAGGGUGCGAGCGUUAAUCGGAAUUACUGGGCGUAAAGCGUGCGCAGGUGGUUUUGUAAGUCAGAUGUGAAAGCCCCGGGCUCAACCUGGGAACU
rnacentral:rRNA from 1 species